AGGCGAUUGGUCCAGAAGAAAGACGGCGGUCUCCAAAACCGCAGAGGCGGGGGCGGUACCUGCAUCGCCUGCCA
rnacentral:tRNA from 1 species